CCGUACAUAGUUGUAUAUUCUUCAUUGUGGGUCCUUCUAGUUGUGGCAUGUGGGACGCUGCCUCAGCGUGGUUUGAUGAGCAGUGCCAUGUCCGCGCCCAGGAUUCGAACCAACGAAACACUGGGCCGCCUGCAGCGGAGCGCGCGAACUUAACCACUCGGCCACGGGGCCAGCCCCGAAGAUGGUGACGUCCCUUGAGCUGGUGCAGCCUGCUGGUUUGUUAGGAUAGCUCCUUGAAUAGUGAGGCCUGCCUUUUCGGAUCCUGCUUCUCCUAACAUCUUAAGACCUUGGAAAAAUGCACUAAUGGGUUUUGUUCUAACUCUGCCUGGUCAUGUAGACACGAUUUUGGUCUUCAGUUGAAUUUGGCAGCCAUGGAAUUUGAGGUUGUGUAUAAAGUCAUCCAAAUUGGCAGCUCCAGCCACAUUGUUGGGACUAAUAUUACAGUGAACAAGUCCACUCAGGGCAAAAGGAAUCAGGCAGAAUUGCUGGAAUCACUACAAUUUUCAGAUGUACUCUCACCUCCCUGAAGAUUUAAAAACUACUCCUUAAGAAAUCCAUUAUUUAUAAUUAGUCUUCUUGAGUCUUAACAAUUUAUUUUUGUUACAUUUUUAUAUAUACAUUCUUAGGGCCAUUAGAAAAACCCACACACCUAUUCUCAGCCAUUACUUGGAUUCAACUCACUGUCAAAUCUACCAUUCUUUUUGCUUUGCUCUCUAUAUCCUUGUAAAAAGAAAACCCCCCAAAAAGCCACCCUCCAAUCCCUUCCCUCCAUGAAAGAACUGAUUUAAAAAUAAAAAGGUAAGUAAAGCAACAAGGAAUGAGAAGAUUCAUUGUGUUGAUUUUGGAAUGAAAGUAUGAUAGUGGAUUUAGCGCAUGUUAUUUAAGUCUGAGGAUGUACUGAAGUCAACCAUGUAAAUCAACCUGUUUGUGUCACCAGACCUAAUCAGGAAACAGCUGAGCAAAACCAGAUUCAGCAAAAUCUGCUGCUCUCUUCAGAUAUUAUAACUUUUUAUAAAAUCUUCAUAUGAAUGUUCUAUGGGAGUGCUUUCAGCACAUCCAUCUGAUCUCUUUUUAUAAGGAGACUGUAUCAAUUCUAAGUUAUAUAUCUGAUAUGCACACACACACAUUUCUCCUGUAGCAGCUGCUCAGAUGUUUUCAGAUGCAUGUAACUUCAGAUCUAACUUCAGGCAAUGGGAUUGAAACAGAAUCCGGACUCCCAUUGCAGUCUGGUCAGUCUGCCGUGGGAUUAUGGGAUCAUUUUGAUGAGGAAUUGGAAUCAUGGCUGAUAGAGGCCUGAUGUAUCAGUUUGGGCUGCUGAGAGCCUGUCUCUGCGUUGUCACAGCCAGAACACCACUGCAGACUGCAUCACACCAAAAUGAGAAGGUCUGAGAGUCCUAAUUUUAUCCAGUACCACUAUAUACUUGUCCAUUUAAACUAGAACUCUAGGGCAUAUCAUGGGAGAAGGUGGCAUCUGACAUGUGUAGGGGUAGAUGGGACACAUGGGCUUUUGGACAGGCUUUUGAGCUCUCUUUCUCUGCAGGACUGGUUUGUUACUUAAAUUGACAGAGUAAUUCAUUAGUGCUUUAAUCAUCAAUAUUUUAAUUCUUUACUUUGGAUCAUGGAUAUAGUCAAAAUGUGCCUAUUUAAUGUUAAAUCAGUUGUUAUAAAAUAUCAAAUAAGCAAUUCUUUUAAAAAAUGAACAGAAUUAAGUGAUAAUUUUACAUAAUUGUCUAACUCCAUUGAUUGUUUUAUGUUCAUUUGGACCCAGGCUGGAAUCAAUAGACCAGAUACGUCAGACUCAAAUGCUUAAAGGAUUAAGAAUUUACUUCAUCUGUGAGAUGGAAUCAAUGAGUCCUUUCAUGCAGCUAUUUGGAAGCUCAUUUUGAGGUCUCUGAUGUGGAAGGGAUAUCAGGAUCAGCUGAUGAUUAUGCUACCUACUCAGGCUCCAAUUUGAUGAUAUGGCUGUGAUGUUUUGCCUCAGAGUUAAUGCAACAUAGAAUAUGUUUUCCUCUGCAGCAAAGCAGCUUGCUGUGGCGGUGUAGCACAAGUUUUGGAGUUCUCUUACCUGAGCUGCCUCUGGCUAUAUUUGAGAGCUGGCAUUUCCCCCCUCCACCGCCUCCAUCAGAGGUGUUGCCAGUGUUUUUGUUAUCUCUGCUUGUGCCUCCAGGGUUGCUGGUGCCUUUGCUGCUGGUUUUGCUGUGGUCACAUGCAUCACCACCAGGGUCACUGGGAUGGCAGGCACCUCUGCUGUGUCCAAGGUUGCCUGGGUCACUAACACUGCUGCUGUGGUUGAUGCAGGGGAGCCAAGGUCACUGGCACCUUCACUGCACCCAAGGUUGUCAGGUUCCCAGGUACAACCACCAAAAGCAGGAAGGGUGGAGUUGCAGGAGCUGCCACUGCUCUCUCAGGGGGCCAGGGUCACAUUCCCUGUGGAGCCUGGGUUCCUUGUGGCCAUAAGUGCCACCGUGGCUGGGGGACUGGAGUCACAUGUACUCCUCCACUGAUGCUAUCAGGUUCUCUGGGGGUGAAGGCACCACUGCAGCUGGAGAGGGGGCGAGGGUCAUGGGCCCCACCUCCCCCACUGCUACUGGGAUUACUGGGGCUGUGGGCUCAGCUGCUGCAGCCAGGGAGGUGUGGUCUCAGGCCCCAUCUCUGCUGUUUCCCUGGUCUCACCACCUCUAUGCAUUCCAGUCUACCCGCCUUCAGAUGUACAGAUGUGUGGAUCCCUCCAGUGUCCUGGUGUGCUGAGCAGAGGAAACUUUGUUGAGUUAUGAAUAUCCUACCUAGUUGUAGAUUGAAGGAAAGAAACAAAAGGAGAAUCUCAUGCCACCAUGAUGCUGAUGUCACUCCUUGAUCUGUCUAUUCUUUUACCAAUAUUACUGCUUUCAUCAUUUUGGGUCUAUGAUUAAUAAAUUAUUUCAUCCCAUAAUCAUUGAGUACCUGGUGUGUGUCUGAAACUGUGUUUGGCAUGAGGAUACAGCAGUUUAUCAGGUGGACAUAGUUCCUGCCCUCACAUUCAUUGUUUCUAGUGCAGGAAACAGGAAAUAAUCAAUGUGUACAACCUAGUGAGCCAUGGGCACUGAGAAAAGAGGCACAAGGUGUUAGGGGAACAUAUGGUAAGGGUCUAUUCCACACUAGGAGUCAAUGAGGAUUCCUGGAUGAGUGAUAUCUAAGUUUAGUCCUGAGGUUCAUGGUAGGCAGGCAAACAGACGAGAGAGAAGUUGAAGAUGGAUGGAACAACAACCUGACAAUCUGAGAGUCAAUAGAGAGCCUGGUGCAUUUGAGAAGCUGAAAACAAUUCUGCAUGGCUGGAGCAGAGUACAGAGGGUUGGUUCCGGACAGGGGAGCCAAACUAUGUUAAGGAUCAUUGCC
ensembl:lncRNA